rnacentral:rRNA from 1 species
AGCGAACGCUGGCGGCAGGCCUAACACAUGCAAGUCGAACGAACUCUUCGGAGUUAGUGGCGGACGGGUGAGUGACACGUGGGAACGUGCCUUUAGGUUCGGAAUAACUCAGGGAAACUUGUGCUAAUACCGAAUGUGCCCUUCGGGGGAAAGAUUUAUCGCCUUUAGAGCGGCCCGCGUCUGAUUAGCUAGUUGGUGAGGUAAAGGCUCACCAAGGCGACGAUCAGUAGCUGGUCUGAGAGGAUGAUCAGCCACAUUGGGACUGAGACACGGCCCAAACUCCUACGGGAGGCAGCAGUGGGGAAUCUUGCGCAAUGGGCGAAAGCCUGACGCAGCCAUGCCGCGUGAAUGAUGAAGGUCUUAGGAUUGUAAAAUUCUUUCACCGGGGACGAUAAUGACGGUACCCGGAGAAGAAGCCCCGGCUAACUUCGUG